AAUACUUUUCGGCCUUUUAGUGUAGAUCUUGAGUGUAUCAUUUUUUAUCAGUUUAAUCCCUGAUAGGCUUAUCCAAAGAAAAGGUAUUAAAAGGAAUUUUUAAAAAUAGGAUAUGAAAUGGGGUUUCUUCCACCAACUCCAUGCAUUGUGUUGGUAUUAAAAUACUUUCAGGAAUGAUGCACAAAUU
rnacentral:snRNA from 1 species